AUGGGCAAGAGCGGGAAGAAGACGAAGGAGUCGCACCGGCAAGGCCGCGGCCGCCGUGGCUCGCAGGUCGGCGACGACGACUUGCCGUCAUCUGCCUACGACGCCCCGCCGCGCCGCCAGGAGGACUCGGACGGUGACGAUUCCGACGACGCAGCAGCGGAAGACGAACACGACGGAGACGCGGAAGCAGGCGACCGCCCAGGCCAGUGGCAAGUCGGAUCGAUGCCUUCCAAGUUCCACCUGUACCAGCUCUCCGUGCAGUCGCCAAAAGGGGACAUCAGCUACCUGCAGAAGUUCUUUCUGAUGUACGUCGGCGGGCGCGUCCCUCUCCACCUGCAGGAGGAUUUCUGUGGCACCGCCCUCCUCAGUACUGAGUGGCUUCGCACUGAUACGAGACGAACAGCAGUGGGCUUAGACUUUGACCGUGAGUCACUUGAGUGGUGUCUUGAGAACAAUCUGAGCAAGAUUGGAGCUGAUGGGUCUUCGAGAUUGUUGCUUUUUGAUGGAAAUGUUCUGCAGCCAAAUGAAUCUCGCCUUGUCAAGCAAAAGAUCAGUGAUCUCGUACAAGGUCUAAAUGUUACCAGUGACGAUGGCUGUACUGAAAAGAACAGCUGCGAGCAGUCAGAUUCUUCAUUUACGAAAUGUGAAGCCAAUUCGACCAUGUCAGAUGCAGUUUUGCCUGGAAGAGACAUAAUUUGUGCAUUCAACUACAGUUGUUGUUGCCUUCACAAGAGAAAGGACUUGGUUUUGUAUUUCAGGCAUGCUUUCAAUGCACUUUCUAAAAGAGGCGGUAUAUUUGUGAUGGAUGUAUAUGGUGGCACAUCAUCUGAAUGCAAGCUUCGUCUCCAGAGGAGAUUCCCCAGCUUCACUUAUUUCUGGGAGCAAGAAGAGUUUGAUAUCAUAACUCGUGAAACAAGGAUCAGCCUCCACUUUCAAGUUGGAAAGAAGCAAAUGAUACGGCAUGCUUUCACGUACCAUUGGCGCCUGUGGUCGAUACCAGAAAUCAAGGACUGUUUGGAGGAAGCUGGAUUUAAGUCCAUCCACGUCUGGGUCAGGGAGAUGCCGGACACCAAAUCAAGCGGAAACGCCAAGGAGUACACUGCCGACCGCGACGUGAAGUACGAGGAGCUCCAGCAUUUCAACCAGGCAGAUGCUUGGAACGCGUACGUAGUCGGGGUAGCAAACAUCUAA
rnacentral:rRNA from 1 species